UUCUUGGUUUAAUUUCUUUAAAUGUGGAAAAAAAAAAGAAAAAAAAUGGAAAUUAAGUGUAAAUAUAAAUAUAUAUAUUUAUAUAUUAAAUAGUUUUAUUAAAUUAAUUAAAGAAAAGAAAGAAAAGAAAGGACAAAAAGAAGAAAAGGAGAAGAAAAUUUCAUUUUCUCUUUUCUUCUUCUUCUUCUCUUCCCUUCACCGCCAAGUUUGAAGACAUCCAAGUUCCCUUUAUUUUUUUGUUCUUUUUCCUUCUUCAAUUUGCAGAGAACUUCUAAGAGAGAGUUUGGAAGAAGAAGAGAAAUUUUACUAGAAUUUUUAGGUUGAAGAAGAGGAGGAGAACUCAAGCAAAGUGUAUCAAUGGCUGAAUUUUAGUUCAUUCUGCACAUCACUGGUUUUUAAUUCGGUUUGAACUCUUCAAAAGGAAUUAAGAGAAAACAGGGCAGUUGGUUUUCACUCGAAAUCAGGAGGUCUCUGGUUUUUCUUGUAUUUCAGAGUGUAUCGGUGGAGUUAGAAUUUCUAUUUGGAACAAGUUAAAGAGGUCGUGUGCGCGCGAUUCUGGAAGUGGUUCUGUUUUGAGGCUUAUAUGUGUUUAUGCACGGGGAAUCAGAUUUAUAUGUCUUCAGGCCGAGAAGAAUUAAACCGAGCUUAUAGACCAAGGAUCUAGCCCAAGACUGUGAGUGACAAAACCAACUUUGAAAUAUUUUCCAUAAUUGUUAUUAUGAUUGAAUGCGAUAAAUGUUUAUUUACGAAGCCAUGAAAGGUAUUUGAAUUUCAUGACUAUUUUCAAGUAUACAUUUGGAGACUAGAUUUCUUAAAGAAAUUUAUGCUAGCACGUAGAUAUUAAAUGUUUGGAAAGUAUUUAAACCACAAUAUUUUAAGCAAAGCAUGAAUUAGUAUGAAGUUUUGUUUUAAGAACUACAAUUUUCCACGAAAGAGCUGAGUAAAGUUCGAGCUUUGUGUAAAAUUUAUAAGCAGGCAUGUUUUAAUAUUUUAUGAUGAUUUAUGAAAUUUUCAUUAACUACAUGACUGAGAUCUUGAGCCUGAGGCUAGAGAUUACCGUGUGCACACUGGUUAGAUUUCGUUGUUGACGUUGAGUGUACUCCGUAACAACGAUGCUGUCGUGAGUGCUGGGCGGGCCCCACUACGACAAAGACGAUGGGAGUGCUGGGCGGGCCCCACUACAUCGUAGUGCUUGUAAACGUUGUUGUACUAGGUGUACCCUACACAACGUAGAUUCGUCAUGUUAGUUAAAAUGCUUCGAUAUACUUGAUAUGCCUUGCUAGAUUUCAAUGAUGAACAUGCUGAGUAUUUAAGGAAGCUAUUCUUACUAUUACACAUUUACAUUUACGACUUGUAUAAACAGAUUUAUAUGUGUAAAGUUUUCACGUGCUCUUAUCUUUAAAUUCAUAGUUUUAAACUGAGUCACUCACUGAGCUCCAUAGCUCACCCUUUCCAAAAUGUUUUACCCAUUUUCCAGGUAGAGAUCGACUUCCCGGUGCCUGAUAGACUGCCUUAGUCUGCGGAAGCUUCAUUAUCGAUUGCCAGUACGUGUUUUGAGUUGGGCAUAAAGUCUGUUGUGUUGUGAUGUAUUCACACCCUUGUAUGUUAUAGAUACUCCACAGUUUGUAUAAGCUUUAGGAGCUGUAGUUGUGUAAAUUUUGUUGGUUAUAUUUUGAUUAAGGUGUCUUUAGGUUUACUCGUGAAAUUGGUAAAUUUUGAGGUACACUUCAUGUAUGUGUUUGACUAGCUGUGUUUGACUAGCCUAGGAUCCGAUGUGUUUUGUGGCAUGUACAAUAGUUUAUAUACUAGAUUGGCAAGUUCAUCACAUGAAAGUUUUAAGCAGAGUCGACAGAUACAGGUACAGAAUAACGUUGUACGUCGGCUUCACGCCAUCUUUCGGUCUAAGGUAGCAGGUAGUCCGGGAGGGGGUGUGACAACUUG